rnacentral:rRNA from 1 species
GGUGAACCUGCGGAGGGAUCAUUACCGAGUUAUACAACUCAUCAACCCUGUGAACAUACCUAAAACGUUGCUUCGGCGGGAACAGACGGCCCUGUAACAACGGGCCGCCCCCGCCAGAGGACCCCUAACUCUGUUUUUAUAAUGUUUUUCUGAGUAAACAAGCAAAUAAAUUAAAACUUUCAACAACGGAUCUCUUGGCUCUGGCAUCGAUGAAGAACGCAGCGAAAUGCGAUAAGUAAUGUGAAUUGCAGAAUUCAGUGAAUCAUCGAAUCUUUGAACGCACAUUGCGCCCGCCAGUAUUCUGGCGGGCAUGCCUGUUCGAGCGUCAUUACAACCCUCAGGCCCCCGGGCCUGGCGUUGGGGAUCGGCAGAAGCCCCCUGUGGGCACACGCCGUCCCUCAAAUACAGUGGCGGUCCCGCCGCAGCUUCCAUUGCGUAGUAGCUAACACCUCGCAACUGGAGAGCGGCGCGGCCAUGCCGUAAAACACCCAACUUCUGAAUGUUGACCUCGAAUCAGGUAGGAAUACCCGCUGAACUUAAGCAUAUCAAUAAGC